UUAACUAUUAUAUAGUACUCAGACAUCACUAAACAAAAGAGUUUGGAUCCUCUGGCAGGCGCGGUCAGCGUGAGCCGACGCCCGGAGGCGGCCUGCCAAAGCAACAAAGGUAUGUAUACACGGUUUGGGAAUAGAACCCAUUUCGAAAAACGGGGCAUUCUUUAAUGAUCCUUCCGCAGGUUCACCUACGGAAA
rnacentral:misc_RNA from 1 species